CGAAAGCCGACGGUUCUCCGCCCAGGUCUUUAAGGCCCUGCCUACCCCCGGGCCGGAUGCAACUCUGCCCAGCUCUGAGAAGAGGGCAGGAUGCAGGUUGUAAGCCUAGUGAUCCACAAGAGGCUGAUUUUUCACACAUUAACCUCACUGUCUUCACAUCAAUACCAAGAGGUGCCGUUUCAAACAAACAUUGUUGGGGAAGGCAGGAAGCGAGCGCAGGCCCCCCGGUGGCAGUCGCACGGUGGAUAAUACCCAGAUGACGAAAUCAGAGGCCUGGCCUUCAGGCUCAGAAGCACACCAAGUCUGCUCCGUUGGAGGCUGCCAGAGGAUACCCCUGACACAACAGAGUGAUCAGUUGUGGAAGGGCUGUGUUAUUUCUAACCCUCACACUAAUUUUGCAAGAUAGGCCUGCCCUCAGGACACCGAAGCUGCGCUGGUGGCCACCCGUCCCCCGACGACUUUUCUGCAAGUCUAGAGGGAAAUCGGCACCUCCCAGGAGGUUUGGGGCCCCUCUCUCCUCUCUAAGUGUCCCCAGGCCGUUCCCCAGCCCUUCGCUCUGACAGCGGGCCCGCAGCUGUCCAGAUACUGCCUCUGGAAUACGGGAGAAAGCGGGGACACUGAAUAAAAGGGAACCCCAGCCCCGCCUGGCCUAGUCCCCUCUGUCUCAUUCACCUCACAAGGCCGCCCCCACGGAGGACACCGAUUCUCCGGAGAGGAGGCAGCCCCAAACUGUCCCCGGAGCCCUGAACAACGAGGUUGGCACCGGCAGGUGUUGACUUGCUGAAGCUUUGCACAACAGCUACUGUCUGUAAGCGUGUGCUCGGCUGCCUGGAUGGCAGAAUAACCCUAGAACCCUACCCCGUGGUGGAAAGAGCAGCUGCUUUGUAAGGCACUGACUCGCACAGACCAACCGAUCGUGAGGCGGACAAGGGAGAUCACAGUGCUGUCUGCUCUGGGCUGGGCCUGGAGCGAUCUUCCAUCCCCGGGCCAAAAGGCCAUGGUCCCUAUUCUCUUAGCAGCACUGCCAAGAGAUGGCUGAGGGGAAUGGUUGAGGAGGCCUGUUCUGGAGCGCCACCACUUACCAGCUGUGUUACUUGAACUAAUGAACCUCCUAGAACCUCACUUUUACCCGAUAAAAUGAGGACCAUGAUGAUGUGAAAUGCAUAGACCCAUUGUAUUAAAACUAAUCAACAAAAA
rnacentral:lncRNA from 1 species